rnacentral:lncRNA from 1 species
ACGAUGAGGCCAAUGGCGAGAGGAGCGAUGGUUCCGAGAGAACCCUUCUUGGGAUCAGCAGCGGUGGCGUAGACGGUGUAGACCAAAGCGAAGGUGAUGAUGAUCUCCAUCACUACUCCUUCUAACGCUCCUAGUCCAGCUCCAACGCUGUGUGUUGGAACCGCCUGCGUUUUCCAUUUAGUUGUUAGCGUUCGUUCAUUAGUUUUAAAUAUUUUAACUGUCUCAAGAAUUGUACGUAUAUUAGUGGAAAGCAAAUCUAAUAAUGUUCUUUAAAAAUUGACAAAAAAAAAAAAAAGCAUAUAGUAUGUAGCUAAAUAUGGAGAAUAUUAUUUUGUUUGUUUGACCUUGUAAUCUACUGGCUUAUUUUGUAACCUAGUUUUCAAUCGAUUAAGAUUGUCUUCAAAUACUCCUAUAUUAUGUAUUAUUUCUCAAAUUCUUUUUUGUUUGUUCUUUUGUAGACCCUAUAUACAUAGUAGUGUUGGAGGCAAGAUGAACUAUAUUAUGAGUUAUUAAGAAUCGGAGAUCAAGAGGACAUACCAAACCACCGGUAACGUAUUUGAGGAGGAAGCAAGCGGCAGUUGAGCCGAGAAGCUGAGCGAUCCAGUAGAAAACUCCGGUGAUGACUGUGAUUUGAC